CGGGCCCCAGUGGUCCUCCGCGCGCCCGGCGAGGGUCGCUCCGCAGGCAGCUCUGAGACUACGUUUUAGCACCCGGACAGAAAAUAACUAAAGGAGAAAGAGUGCUCGCCAGCCAGAUCCUCACACACCUGCGGGCCUGCACGGCGGCGGCCCGCACGGACGUCACCCGUCCGGGACAGCUGCUUCCUGCCGGCCCCGGAGCCUCCAGCUCUUCGGACGUACAGCAGUCGUACAACCUGUAGGCGGACAGGCACUGUGCCUCCCCCAUCUCUGAGAAAGUGUCGCUGGCAUGUAAGAAUCGUCUGAGGGGGUUGUAUCUGGAGAUCUAAUUAUUGUGAGAUGGAGCACAGGAAGACUCUUUCAACCCUCUCAUGGGAAAGCUGCAAUCAGGAAGGCCCGAGUUGGAGAGGGCGCAGGGUCUCCUCUUGCCAUGGGGAGGAGAGAGGAUGCCAGAGCCUGGGACCCCUGAGCUGGAAGCUGAAUGAGGGAGGAGCAUUGAAGAAAGAAAGUUCAGGAGACCCCUUAGUAAGUGGGAUACUUUGAUCUACUCACUUUCUUCCAUAAAA